rnacentral:lncRNA from 1 species
GAAGGGACUUGAUGUGAUUGGUGAUCUGAUUGUUCCUAUUAACUGUGAUUGAUUAUCAAUCAAUCAAUUGAUUUGAUUGGUGAAAACCGUGGGCUCAUAAUUGGAAGGGUUUUGACGUAAUUGGAAGGGACUUAGCAUGAUUAUUGAUUUGAUUAUCUUGGAUUGACCAUGAUUAACCAUUUGACUCGAAUUGGAAGGUCCUGACCCAAAUGGAUUGAUCGUGAUUUACCAUGCCGAUGUUGUGGGGCCGGCGGGUAAAAAAACACGCAGUGACAAAAAUUCAUAAGUAUUAGACGCAGUAGAGCGGCAAUAUGCAAAGGAUGCUGGGAAUAUUUGGUCUCCCACCUCCCCUUCAUUCAUUUUACCUCGUUUUGCCCUGAUAGGUGGGUCCUUUGUGAGGUGGGUCCUUUGUGAGGGGUACGUGGGUAUAAUUUUGGGUGUGAAUUGACCUCAAUCUUGCUGCUCUUUAUAGUAUAUAGAUACAUGGGCAGAUCCACGAUCCAGGCUAGGGGCUGCAGCCCGGGUCUGGCCCAUGUAAC